rnacentral:rRNA from 1 species
UACGGAGGAUGCGAGCGUUAUCCGGAUUUAUUGGGUUUAAAGGGUGCGUAGGCGGACGCUUAAGUCAGCGGUAAAAUUGCGGGGCUCAACCUCGUCGAGCCGUUGAAACUGGGUGCCUUGAGUGGGCGAGAAGUACGCGGAAUGCGUGGUGUAGCGGUGAAAUGCAUAGAUAUCACGCAGAACUCCAAUUGCGAAGGCAGCGUACCGGCGCCCUACUGACGCUGAAGCACGAAGGCGUGGGUAUCGAACAGG